rnacentral:snoRNA from 1 species
GCUCUCUGCGAUCCGGAAAUCGUCUCCAAGAUCCUUGCUGGCUUGGACAUGGAGUACAAUCCGGUCGUGUCUGCCCUUGCUGCUCGGGUGGAACCCAUCACCGUCCAGGAGUUGUACAAUUAGCUGCUGAGCUUCGACG